GAGUUUGAUCCUGGCUCAGAUUGAACGCUGGCGGCAGGCCUAACACAUGCAAGUCGAGCGGUAGAGAGAAGCUUGCUUCUCUUGAGAGCGGCGGACGGGUGAGUAAUGCCUAGGAAUCUGCCUGGUAGUGGGGGAUAACGCUCGGAAACGGACGCUAAUACCGCAUACGUCCUACGGGAGAAAGCAGGGGACCUUCGGGCCUUGCGCUAUCAGAUGAGCCUAGGUCGGAUUAGCUAGUUGGUGGGGUAAUGGCUCACCAAGGCGACGAUCCGUAACUGGUCUGAGAGGAUGAUCAGUCACACUGGAACUGAGACACGGUCCAGACUCCUACGGGAGGCAGCAGUGGGGAAUAUUGGACAAUGGGCGAAAGCCUGAUCCAGCCAUGCCGCGUGUGUGAAGAAGGUCUUCGGAUUGUAAAGCACUUUAAGUUGGGAGGAAGGGCAGUAACCUAAUACGUUUCUGUCUUGACGUUACCGACAGAAUAAGCACCGGCUAACUCUGUGCCAGCAGCCGCGGUAAUACAGAGGGUGCAAGCGUUAAUCGGAAUUACUGGGCGUAAAGCGCGCGUAGGUGGUU
rnacentral:rRNA from 1 species